CAGCCUUCAUACAACACACAUUCUGUGUUACCAGUUGAAGAAGAGCCUCAAGAACUAGAUUAUGCCAUCACCAAUGAUUGACGUGAUAAAACGGGCUAAAAGCCAUAGCAAGCUGAAAUUUCUUUUUGUCUCCUCCCAUUUCAAGGAUAUUCUAGGCCUCCAAAGCUUCAUUUGGUGAGGAAAAUCCUUUGCUUUUUUGCUACUUAUUUCAAUCAAUUUAUUUGGUAAACAUGGGAGGAAUAACAGUCCCCACAAUUUAGGUAGCUAGUUAUAUUACAACUGUUAUAAACAUGUAUGUAACAAUAAUCUUAGCAUAAAUUAAUUAAUUUUGAAAUUUGUCAUGA